GCCGAUAUGGAUCGAGUUUUCAAGGAUCUGAAAAACUGAUUCAAAACCCUUUUUGUCGCACAUUUCAAAACUUUACUGUCGAAAAGUCGUAAUCUGACUUCGUGCCUUUAGGAUUUGUUGUUACGAAUGUCGUUAGGAUCAUUGCUGUCAAAAUUGUUUUCCGAAGUGAUAACUUUGAGGUUUUGAGCUUUUGUUUUGGACCAAAACGCCCCUGAACAACAGUAUUUCGAUCCGAUUGUCCGAAAAUUUUUCCGACCGUUUCUUUGCCUUAGUUUUACCCUAAAACUACCUUGUAAACAGACUAGAUCGAAGAAAAAGAUCCGGAGCUCUUUUCUCCUUAUGGCCGAGAUCUAUUUCAAGGGGGGGGGAGUUUUUCGUUUUCGAAAACUUGUCUUUUCGUAUCCGAUUGUUGUAUUCUGAAGCUUUAAUGCUUUGUCUAUCGUUAAUUGGAUGUAUUGUAAUCGAGCUAAUCGAUUUUGUUUGGAUUUCUGCUUUGUUUUCUCCGAGGUUCAGUUGAAGGAACUUUGGGUUUUGUAGAACAUUUGUGUGAAGAGAACCUUGACCAAGAGGUUGGAGCAGCUCGAGGUUAGGGAAACUUACUAUUAGCUAUGACUGCAUGAUAGGCGUCGAUAAAUUCGACUUAUGCUUUAUUUUGAUAUUGAUUAUGAUGAUGAACUGAUGUUAUGAUGUUUUCCAUAACUUAUGAUGUUGAGAUGUUAUUGAAUUGUGCGUUUUGACGCGACUUCGGAGCGAAGAAUCACUGAACUGAUUCAUUUUGAUCUUUCGGGUUGGAUGAACAACCCUAGACAAGUCCAACCACAAGGUUUGAGACUUAGCCCUUCGUUGGUCUACUUAGACUUUCCCCGGGAAUUUCUUUUGAUGGGUUUUUGGAAAACUUAGAAUGAAUAGAAUUUCGAAAACUAGAGACUGUAGAGAAUUUAGUAUUCAAGAAAUAAACUCAUAACUUGACUAAUCCAAUUCGAAACGUUUUUAUUAAACGAAUAAAUAUAGGGAACCUAAAGGGGAAAAUGAUUGCGAAAGACGGGGAAAUGUCGACAAGUCUUGAAGUUACUGGGAAUUGGGGAAAGCCACUGAGGUGAGCUACGGUGAUGAUUGAAAGUCACCGAGUACUCUAGUACUCUUGUUGUUAGAGUGGUGUUGUAUUGACCGACUCUAACUCUGGGUUUUGACAUUGGGUUUUGUUAUUGGAGUUGUGUUGUAUUGACCGACACUAACUCUGAGUUGUGUUGUAUUGACCGAUACUAACUCUUGGGUUUUGAGAUUGGGUUUUGAGCUAAACGCUUGUGUUGUGAGGACGAUUCGAUGUUUGGCUAACCAUAUUGCAUCAUGCAUCAUUUGGUGAAGAACGGGAAUGCUUCACCAAUGCAUAACUCGAUGAGGAACGGGAAUGCUUCAUCGAUGGUGAAGAACGGGAAUGCUUCACCAAUGCAUCAUUCGAUGAAGAACGGGAAUGCUUCGUCAAGGAUGAAGAACGGGAAUGCUUCAUCCAUAGUGAAGAACGGGAAUGCUUCACUAGUGGCGAACUGGAAUGCGUCACAAUUAUCCGGAUCAUAUUGAAUUUCAUUUCACGCAUACAUUCAUCCUGACUGGAAUUGUGUGCUGUUUGCAUUACUGAAUUGUUGUUAGAGCCUAUAACAUGCUAGGAAUAUAUUUAUAUAUAUAUAAUAACAUAUAUAUAUAUAUAUAUAUAUUCUCCAAUCACAUGUUGUUUGUAUAUCUACUCUAUUCCAUGAGUUGACCCUAGCGCCUUGGCUUUGGUUUCAUGUUUGUGUUUGGGCGGUCGUCCUGCUGCCAGACGUCGACGGUGGAUUGGGUUUCGACGGUCUCUCCCUCGGGGGGGAUCAGGUUUGAGCUGGUUGACCGACAUGCCCCACCGCUUGGGUGAUCGAUCUUGUGGGUCAUCAAGCGACGUACCGGGGAAGGGUCAUGGAGGACCGGACUGACGAGCGUGGACGUUUAACGAAGGGAGUUCUACGACGCAUGGAGCUGAGCUUCAACUUGCCGACUUCAGUUCGCUGUGGACUCGGUACCGGGAGGGUAGGUUUGGGCAGGCGUCAUAUUUUGUGUAGAGCUCUGAUUCAUUUUGCUUUUGGGACAGGGUAGGUUCCCGACGCAUGACUUUUUGUGUGGUUCUCUUACGGAGGGAUCACAGUGAGUCAGUCGGACCAUAUGGGUCUUUGCUUAGGCCAUUUUGAGGCCGACUUUCUCCUAGUGGGUUGUACUUAUAAUUUUCUCACUCACACUUCUGGAUCUGUAUAUAUUUGCCUACGGGCACACUACUUUGGAGUCACUGCGAGUGCGCGUGACGUGGGAGUGCAGCUGAGGCUGUACAUGUGUAUAUAUUUGGAUAGCGGUUAGUUAGUUGUUGGGUUAUAUCUUUAUUUUCUAUCGCUUUAAUUAAUAGGAAUCAAACGAAAAAAAAAUUACCUGUUUUCCGCGUAAAGUUUAUUUUUUAGUUACUAAAGUGACACCUAGAAAUCGGGGUGUUACAUUGUGGUAUCAGAGCUUAGUCGAGUCUUUCGGGAGUCUUUGGGGAAUAGGUCUUCUGUGCUAGGUUGUGUGACUCUGCAAAGAGUGAAAAUUGAUUGUCAGUAGAGCGAUUUUCGCUCUAAUUGUUUGCGUUACUACCUAAAUCAUAUUGAAUGGUUUGUCUAGUGCUACCGUAUGGUUAGUACUAAUUGGACGCUUAAUGAGAUAUAGGAUGGGGGACCUUAACCGGAUGGCGGAGGCAAUAGCUACACUAAUCGAGGCAAUGAUGAACCAGGCUGCGGAAGACGCUUACAUGCGCGCUGAAGAGCCUGCACAUGAGCAUCACCAACGACUGAUGGCGACGACAAUGUAUCAACAAAGAGGAAUGAACCGAACAGGAGCUGGGGGGCCAAUGAGGUCAGGUUUCCAAGGCUACAACGGAAGGGAGAGUUACCAUCAGUGGAAACCGUAUCAGCGUUUCGAGGGAAGAGAUCUUAUCGCAAGAGCGUACAAACCAACGACUGCUGAUACUGGAGGGAAGCCAGUUGGUGACAAAGGUGUGACAUGUUUUCGUUGCGGAAAGUUUGGGCAUUUUGCUAACAAGUGCUCAGUGAUUGGACGGAGAUGCUUCAAGUGUAACCGAGAGGGGCAUCUAGCUGUGAACUGCAAGACACUCUAGGGGGGAACGUCUGACAGUAAGAUGAAAGGGAUUGAUGCUACCGGAGGGACAGGAAACAAGACUUCGGGAAAAACAGUGACGUGUUACAGGUGCAGGAAAGUGGGGAACUACAGUAACAAGUGUCCAGACGGGGGACCUCUAUGCUUCAAUUGCAACCAACCGGGACAUUUAUCCAGAGAUUGCAAGGCACCCAAGGGCGAAUCAUCAGGGAAUGCAGGGAAAGGAAAACAACUUGCUGCAGAGGAAAGGAUUCAUACCAAGGAGGGAGCAAGAGCUGAGGAGUUGAACGAGGAAUAACGUGGGAACGAUGGUAAUAUUUUAACUGUUCUCUUAUUCUAGAAUAACGUACUCUUUUAUCUUCGAAACGAGUGUGGCGCGCCUAACUUGUAUUUACUACUUAGACUACGAUCUUAUGAUUAUUAUCCCUAGUAGGACCUUAUUCGAAGUUGCUCGUGAUUUAACUAUAGAAGUUACACGAGGUCUAGGAUAGCACGCUGAGUUAGGAAGUUGUUUUACCGAUGCGUCGAUAAGGAAGCUAAGACCUCAGGGAAAUUCCUUAUGGGUACAAUACGUAGGAUUUUAGGGCGUUUAGUUUUGAAGGGGAGUCGUUAGAGGAUCUUUCGGCAAAAGGAUUCAUUCGACCAAGUGUUUCACCGUGGGGAGCGCCAGUGCUUUUAGUCAAGAAGAAAGACGGAAAGUCGAGAUUAUGUGUGGACUAUCGACAACUGAACAAGGCGACGAUCAAGAACCGAUACCCGUUACCGAGGAUAGAUGAUUUGAUGGAUCAAUUACGAGGGGCUGCCGUAUUUUCCAAGAUAGACUUGAAGUCAGGCUAUCAUCAGAUCAGAGUGAAGACUGAGGAUAUACCGAAGACUGCUUUCAGAACACGUUACGGAUACUACGAGUACCUAGUGAUGUCGUUUGGAGUGACAAAUGCACCUGCUGUUUUCAUGGAUUACAGGAACCGCAUCUUUCAUGAGUUCUUAAAUCGGUUUGUGGUGGUGUUUAUUGAUGACAUACUGAUCUAUUCGAAGGACGCGAAGGAACAUGAAGGACAUUUGGGCCAAGUUUUACAAGUGUUGAGAGAGAACAAGCUGUAUGCAAACCCUUCCAAGUGUGAAUUAUGGUUGGAGGAAGUCAAUUUCUUAGGCCAUGUUAUCUCAAAGGAAGGCAUAGUUGUGGACCCAGCGAAAGUAGAGACUGUUUUGGCUUGGGAACAACCGAAGACAGUGACAGAAAUCAGAAGUUUUGUGGGUUUAGCUGGAUAUUAUAGACGCUUCAUUAAGGGAUUUGCCAAGAUUGUUGGACCUUUGACUCAAUUGACGAGGAAGGAUCAACCAUAAUUGUGGGUUUGGCAUGGACUGAGGCGUGUGAAUCAAGUUUUCAGACUUUGAAGGAACGUUUGACGACGUCACCUGUGCUUAUUUUGCCACAACCGGAGGAACCUUAUGAGGUCUACUGUGAUGCUUCGUAUCAAGGCUUGGGAUGUGUGCUGAUGCAACAUCGGAAAGUGGUGGCUUAUGCUUCGAGACAGUUGAAGACUCACGAGAGGAACUACCCGACUCACGAUUUGGAGUUAGCUGCCAUUGUGUUUUCGCUUAAAAUCUGGAGGCAUUAUCUCUAUGGUUGUACUUACACGAUAUUUAGCGAUCACAAGAGUCUUAAAUACUUGUUCGAUCAAAAGGAGUUGAACAUGAGGCAACGAAGAUGGAUGGAGUUUAUCAAGGACUACGAGUUUACGUUGCAAUAUCACCCUGGGAAGGCAAAUGUAGUUGCUGAUGCUUUGAGUAGGAAGAUGCAUGUCUCGUCAAUGAUGGUUAAAGAGCUGGAGUUACUAGAACAAUUUCGAGAUAUGAGUUUAGGUGUGACACUGUCUGAGGGGAAGUUGAAAUUCGGAAUGAUCAGAAUCGCCAGUGGACUGAUGGAAGAGAUUAGGGAGCAACAAGUGCAAGAUGCGUUUCUGCUAGAGAUGAGGAACUAAGUGAUUCAAGGGAAAGACCCGGAAUUCAAGGUAGGAACUGACAAUAUCCUACGAUGCAAGGACGGAGUUUGUGUACCCAAUAAUCCAGAAUUGAGAAGGCUGAUCAUGGAUGAAGGACACAAGAGAAAAUGGAGCAUUCAUCCGGGAAUGACAAAGAUGUAUCAAGAUUUGAAACUGAAUUUCUGGUUGCCGGGAAUGAAGAAGUAAGUGGCCGAGUAUGUAGCUGCAUGUUUGACUUGUCACAAGGCUAAGGUAGAGCAUCAAAGACCUCCUGGUAUGCUACAGAGUUUAGACGUGCCAGAAUGGAAAUGGGAUAGCAUAUCCAUGGAUUUUGUGGUAGCUUUGCCAAGAACACAGAAGAGACACGACUCGAUUUGGGUGAUUGUGGAUCGUUUAACUAAGUCAACGCAUUUUCUACCAGUGAGAACUACUUACAAUGUGGAAAAGUUGGCGGAGAUUUAUGUGGCUGAGAUUAUGAGACUACACGGAGUUCCGACGAGUAUUGUGUCUGAUCGGGAUCCAAAGAUUACUUCGCACUUUUGGGGAGCUCUUCAUGAUGCGUUAGGAACCAAGCUGAGAUUGAGUUCAACGUAUCAUCCACAAACUGAUGGGCAGACAGAGAGAACUAUUCAGUCGCUAGAAGAUCUACUACGUGCUUGUGUGUUAGAUAACAGAGGAAGCUGGGAUGAUCUUCUGCCAUUGAUUGAAUUUACAUACAACAAUAGUUUUCAUGCGAGCAUUGGGAUGGCACCGUAUGAAGCAUUGUAUGGUCGAAAGUGUAGCACACCGUUGUGUUGGUAUCAAGAUGGGGAGAGUUUGUUUAUUGGGCCAGAAUUACUGCAACAGACGACUGAGAAGGUUAAGCAGAUCAGAGAAAAGAUGAGAGCUUCACAGAGCAGACAGAAGAGUUAUGCUGAUCAGAGACGCAGAACCCUAGAGUUUGAAGAGGGAGACCAUGUGUUUCUACGAGUUACUCAGACUACGGGAGUUGGACGAGCAAGUCAAGAAAGCUCACGCCAAAGUUUAUUGGGCCUUAUCAAAUCACUUGACGUGUUGGACCAGUUGCGUAUCAGAUUGCACUACCACCAUUUCUUUCCAACAUUCACGAUGUAUUUCAUGUGUCGCAGUUAAGGAAGUACAUUCCAGACCCGACUCAUGUAAUCGAGCCAGACAAUGUUGAACUGAAGGAUGAUUUGACCUUUGAGGCACCGCCAGUGAGUAUUGGGGAUAGAAGAGUGAAACAACUGAGAGGGAAACAGAUUGCGUUGGUGAAGGUGAUAUGGAACAACGAUACGGGGGACGCUACAUGGGAAUUGGAAGAUAAGAUCAAGGAACUAUAUCCCGGACUUUUCGCAGAACUCUGAGUUUCGAGGACGAAACUUUCUUUUUGGAGGGGAGUAUUGUAAGACCUGUAUUUACAGAACAAGUUAAUUUCCGACUCACGCGUAGAAUCAGUGUAAGCGUGACAGGAGCUUGAAGUUUGAGAAAGAUUAAUGAAGAAGAAAGUUCAGGAAUUGCUUGAGGAAUGUUUCAUAGUCGUUGUAGGAAGUAGUGCGAGUCGUCUGCACACCUGCCCUAUGGCGAGAGUUUCCAGAAUAGGCUAAUUUCUCUUUUAGAGCAACGUAUUAAGUGAGACUUCAAAUCCUUGGAAAAUUUAAAGGGUCUCUUUAUUUUUCCUUCGACCAGCGUUUCAUUUCGGAACCUUGGACUGUACACACGAUAGUAUUCACUUUUCGGAAGUCCGACGACGCUAAUUUCUUUGCUUCGAAACCCUAAAUUCAAUCACUGGAUGAAGACUUUUUCUAUUCGGAACUUCUAACGAAGUUUCCGUCCGCGCAACCAGAUUUUUUUCGACGUUUCCAAUCUUUCUCCAGAACAAAGUUUUGUCGUCCGACAUUCACAGCAAAAAUUAGUUUUUCGGGACAGAUUAACUUACACCGCUUUUGAGAUUUUAUGGAUCGUUUUUCCCAAAUGUUAGAGAUUUGUUUUGAGUUCUGGAAUUAUGUCGCCAGAAUCUCUCUUAGAAUUCAUCGGUGAACGUGCUGCAGAAAUCGAAAUCGCGAAAUUUUCAUUUUCCCUCGAUUUCACCUUCUUAUAAAUAGCCAAAAAUUCAAAAUAUCUUCUCAUUUUCAUCCAUCAAGGCCGCGAGUUGAGGAGAGGAGAGGGAGAAGAUUUUUUCACCGAAACUUGACCGAUCUUCGCGCAGUUCGUUCCUACUUCAAGGUAUCGAGGUAACUAGCUUGAUUCUUACCUCUGAUCACUGUUUCUACUGCGUUUCUUUAGCUGUUUCUGUGCUCAAAGUUUUGAGCUUUUUGUAAAACUGUCCGUUUUCCUGAUUUUUCUGUUGGGGUAUCUUCUCUACAUGCCCAAGAGCCUAAAACCUUUGUCGGUAUUCGCCGAUAUGGAUCGAGUUUUCAAGGAUCUGAAAAACUCAUUCAAAACCCUUUUUGUCGCACAUUUCGAAACUUUACUGUCGAAAAGUCGUAAUCUGACUUCGUGCCUUUAGGAUUUGUUGUUACGAAUGUCGUUAGGAUCAUUGCUGUCAAAUUUGUUUUCCGAAGUGAUAACUUUGAGGUUUUGAGCUUUUAUUUUGGACCAAAACGCCCCUGAACAGCCAUAUUUCGAUC
rnacentral:lncRNA from 1 species